rnacentral:snoRNA from 1 species
CCGCUGUUUGUUGAGCAACGCCGACUCGUGUGAGCGAGAAACGACGCUUUGACUGCUGGC